rnacentral:rRNA from 1 species
CUUAACACAUGCAAGUCGAACGGUCUCUUCGGAGAUAGUGGCGGACGGGUGAGUAACGCGUGAGAAUCUGCCUUCAGGUCUGGGACAACCAUUGGAAACGGUGGCUAAUACCGGAUGAGCAGAGAUGUAAAAGAUUAAUUGCCUGAAGAUGAGCUCGCGUCUGAUUAGCUAGUUGGUGGGGUAAGAGCCUACCAAGGCGACGAUCAGUAGCUGGUCUGAGAGGAUGAUCAGCCACACUGGGACUGAGACACGGCCCAGACUCCUACGGGAGGCAGCAGUGGGGAAUUUUCCGCAAUGGGCGAAAGCCUGACGGAGCAAUACCGCGUGAGGGAGGAAGGCUCUUGGGUCGUAAACCUCUUUUCUCAGGGAAGAAAAAAAUGACGGUACCUGAGGAAUAAGCAUCGGCUAACUCCGUGCCAGCAGCCGCGGUAAUACGGAGGAUGCAAGCGUUAUCCGGAAUGAUUGGGCGUAAAGCGUCCGCAGGUGGCUAUGUAAGUCUGCUGUUAAAGAGUCUAGCUCAACUAGAUAAAAGCAGUGGAAACUACAUGGCUAGAGUGCGUUCGGGGCAGAGGGAAUUCCUGGUGUAGCGGUGAAAUGCGUAGAGAUCAGGAAGAACACCGGUGGCGAAAGCGCUCUGCUAGGCCGCAACUGACACUGAGGGACGAAAGCUAGGGGAGCGAAUGGGAUUAGAUACCCCAGUAGUCCUAGCCGUAAACGAUGGAUACUAGGCGUGGCUUGUAUCGACCCGAGCCGUGCCGUAGCUAACGCGUUAAGUAUCCCGCCUGGGGAGU